GGUCCACCGCCCCGUCGCCCCUCCGCUCCGCGCCCGCCCCAAUCGCCCUUCGCGCAACCGCUCUCGCUGCCCCACCCCCGUCGCGGUCCACCGCCCCGUCCCCCGUCGCGGUCCCCCGCGGCCGCCGUGCGCCGGGGAGGUGCACCGGGCCAGGCUCCGGCGCUCCGCACGUCGCUUUGCAUCCCCCAGCCCGACAGCACCGCCGCACGCACCUUGUGCUCCGCCGCCAUUGCCCAAGAGGAAUACGAUUGCCGCGCCGACGCCUUGAGCCCAUGAAACCCUAGCUGUUCCAAGCCGGGCAGGGCGAUGCCAGCUUGGGGUCUCCCGCAUCUGACUCGCCGCGCCUCUUCUCUAUGUGCUCGGCGGACGACCGGCGGCGGCUAUUCUAUUCUAUUCAACGCAAAGCAGCUGGCGCAGCGAAGCAGAGCAAAAUCCAUGGAUACAAACAGAGCAAGGAUCCUUGCCAAGAUCUCCCAAGUUGAUUUGCAGUUGCUGAAAUAUUCCCAAGAAAAUUCAAAGCUAUCAUCCAAAAUCAUUCAGUCCCCUGAAAGGCUUCAGGUAGGCCAUUUCAUUUUUUUUAUUUCUGUUUUGUGGCAGGCAAAAAGUUCAUUAGGAAACUGAUAUUUCUUUAUUGGAAUCACUAUGCUAAAAAGCCUGAAGAUUCCGUUAAUGCAAGGGAUCCUGUAGGUCCAGAAUUACUUGCCAUGGUAGAAGUGCAUGCCAUGCCAUGGUAGAAGACUCCUCGGCUUGUAUUGCCGCUGUCAGUUUCUUGUUCUCUGCUCCCAGUGAUGUUUGUAGCUUGCAUGCCCAAAAUGUAGAGUAACUAGGCUCUCCAGUUGGUUCACUUAUUCUUUGCCACAAUUUCAGUUUUGUUUUAUUCCCUUGCUGCAGAAUAUUUUAGAUUUGCUCUUCAAUGUGUUGAAUUGUUUAGAUGGAUUUGCGAGAGAAGAGAUACAAGCUAUUUGCUCGGCCUCCUGGUCUUAUCACAGUCUUAUAUGCAUUGAGUAAAAUUAUGUGAUACUGCACUUAAAUAUGUUUUUUUACCCGUGGUGUUAGCACGGGUGGGCGGGCGGCGUCGGCCUGCGGCGGGCCACGGCAGGCGAGCGGGACAAGGCGGUGGAGCAUGCCAUGGGGGGCGCAGGCGGUGCCGGCGGGCGCGGGCGGUGUCGAGCGGCGUGCGAGCGAGCAGGCCUAGGCACCAGGAAUAUUAUAACUUGUUUAAAAAAGAUUUGUGGAGAUUAAACACUUGCUGAGUGGUAGAAGAAGGCGACACCAAACCUCUUUUCAAGUACACGUCAAACACCUACCACAAUGCUAAAUAAAAUUUAGCCGGAGUGUGCCACAAGAUGCAGUCUGGCACCAAUAACAAAUGUAAUUUCCUUCCUGCUACAUGCCUUCAUGAUGUGCUUUCUGGUUACUCUCCUACCGAAUGUUGCCUAUUCCAUCAUCAGAAUAGAGAUGUUUGACUGCAGGUUUGUUUGGUCUACUAACAUACCGGGAUACGUCAUAUGGUUUUGUGUUUUCAGUGUAGUUUUUAAAUUUCAGUUCUAAUGGUGGAAGCUCCUUUUUGUAUCAGUGGAGUACAGGUGUGUUCUACUUUCACACAAACUGAUCUUUCUAGGAGAUAUAAUGAUUUCACUGAAUAACUUCAAGGAAUAAAGUUUGAAUUAUGUGUACCAGAUCAAUUUGGCAAAAUUGCCAUAAAACAUGUUCUUUUUCUUCGCAUUGUGCAAUGAAAAAUGUGAACUUUAGUGUUUGCUGGUAAGUUGUAGCCGGUGCUUCAACUUGCACAAAAUUUCAUACUUAAUUUAUGCAAGCAUGUACUGGCUACUAAGUAUAGGAGACCAGAUAAACUUUGUCUGAUAAACAUUGUCGGAUUGUGGGGAGCUUCAAGAGGAUAAGUUCUUUGCCAUGCCAUCAAAUAGGUCUUUUGGUUGUUUGAUUUGUAUUAUAAAGAUGCAACUGGUUGGUGUUCGUCCUUUGCAUCUAGAUUCUUGAAAGCAUAUGCUGCUGUUUGGUUCUUUUAUUUGCAUUACGAAAUAUCAUGGCUUAAUGUCAUGGUUAGCAAGCCACAAGAGAUAUAACUUUGGUGAUUUUAGGCACCUGGCUCGAAGCAAAGGGACGACUAUGUCUUCAACAGUGGUCAGUUCAGCGUUUGUUGCAGAUUGCAGAGGAGGUGCACCUAUGGUCCCUGGCCGGAGCUAAGGAUCUCAGUGAAGUAGAUGCCUAUACAAUCUAGAGCAGAGCCGCUUUGGUACUCAGAAUUGUGCAAUGUUGUGUAUGUAAUACUAAAAUCUGUUUCUUCUAAUUCUUCUGUGUUCGAGGGAAAAAAAAUUAUAUCGUUGUAGUGUUAACAUGGACAUUAUACUUUACAUGUACAUUUGUAUCUAAAUCAUUUUAUGUUAACUCUAUGUUAUAUCUUUGUG